AUGCGGCCUCCCUAUGGCAGCACCUUCUUCGGCCGCCCCACGGGCCGCAACGGCGACGGUCGGCUCAUCAUCGACUUCAUUGCUGAAAACCUGGGCCUGCCGUAUGUGCCGCCCACGCUGGCGCACAACGGCAGCUUUCGCCGAGGUGCCAACUUCGCCGUUGGAGCCGCCACCGUCCUAGAUGCCAGUUUCUUCCACGAGAGGGACAUCCCCGGUGGUUCCAGCAAGUUCCCCCUCAACACCAGCCUUGGCGUGCAGCUGGAGUGGUUCGAGUCUAUGAAGCCUACAUUGUGCCGCACACCUCGAGCGUGCAAGAAAUUCUUCGGCAGAUCCCUCUUCUUGGUGGGCGAGUUCGGAGUCAACGACUAUCACUUCUCUUUCCAAAGCAAAACGGUGCAGGAAGUCAGAUCCUUCGUUCCAGAUGUUGUCGCUACCAUCUCCAUCGCCAUCGAGAGGCUGAUCAAGCACGGAGCGAGAAGCCUGGUGGUUCCCGGCGUGAUCCCGUCGGGAUGCUCACCGCCUAUCCUGACCAAGUUCGCCGACGCCCCAGCGGCAGCAUACGACCCCAAAACCGGCUGUCUGACAGCGCGCAACGAGCUGGGGCUGCACCACAACGCGCUACUGCAGGCGGCGCUGUCCAGGCUCCGGGCCAAGCACCGCAACGUCAAGAUCAUCUACGCCGAUUUCUUUCGUCCAAUCAUAGAGAUGGUGGAGUCGCCACACAAGUUCGGUUUUGAAGAGGACGUACUUAUGGUGUGCUGUGGAGGGCCGGGAAGGUACGGAAUGAACGGGACGGUUCCAUGCGGCGAUGCAGCCGCGACGACGUGCCGAAAUCCGUCUGCUCGGCUGUAUUGGGACGGAGGCGGCUAA
rnacentral:rRNA from 1 species